GUACUGUGACGAGUCCCAAACGAGGACGAAACAGCUGUCCAGUAC
rnacentral:hammerhead_ribozyme from 1 species